rnacentral:rRNA from 1 species
GACGAACGCUGGCGGCGUGCCUAAUACAUGCAAGUCGAACGCAGUGGGGACGGGUGAGUAAUACGUGGGUAACCUCCCAUCAGAGGGGAUAACACUUGGCAACAGGUGCUAAACCGAUAGUGAGGGAUGGACCAGCGGUGCGUUUGCUUGUUGGGGAGGUAACGGCGCACCAAGGCCACGAUGCAUAGCUGACCUGAGAGGUGUAUCAGCCACACUGGGACUGAGACACGGCCCAGACUCCUACGGGAGGCAGCAGUAGGGAAUCUUCGGCAAUGGACGAAAGUCUGACCGAGCCACGCCGCGUGAGUGAAGAAGGUUUUAGGAUCGUAAAACUCUGUUGUUAGAGAAGCGGUAUCUAACCAGAAAGCACCGGCUAACUACGUGCCAGCAGCCGCGGUAAUUC